rnacentral:rRNA from 1 species
UCGACUGUUUAUCAAAAACAUAUUUAAUAGAAAUCAUUAUUAAUAUUACCUGCUCAAUGAAAUUUAAAUAGCCGCAGUUCAUACUGUGCUAAGGUAGCAUAAUCAUUUGUCUUUUAAUUAAAGACUAGAAUGAAAGGUUUAACAUUUAAAUUAUUAUUAUAAAUUUCAAUUUAUAAAUUAUUAUAAAUGUAAAAAAACAUUUAUUAUUAGAAAGACGACAAGACCCUAUCGAACUUAACUUAAGUUUAACUGGGGCAGUUAUUUAAUAAAUCUUUAAUUUCCUAAACAAAUCGACCUGAUUUAAUCAAUCACAUAAUCAAGUUACCGUAGGGAUAACAGCGUAAUAUUUUUCUAUAGAUCUUAUAUAAAAAAACGAUUGCGACCUCGAUGUUGAAUUAAUAUUCUAUUAAACGCAACCGUUUAAUAAGAAAGUCUGUUCGACUUUUAAAAAAUUACAUGAUUUGAGUUCAGACCGGUGUAAACCAGGUCGGUUUCUAUCUU